CUACGGGUUGCUGCAGUCGAGAAUCUUCCGCAAUGGACGAAAGUCUGACGGAGCGACGCCGCGUGCGGGAUGAAGGCCUUCGGGUUGUAAACCGCUGUCAGUGGGGAGGAAAUGCAUCAGGGUUCUCCCUGGUGUUUGACCGAUCCGCAGAGGAAGCGCAGGCUAAGUUCGUGCCUGCAGCCGCGGUAACACGAACUGCGCGAACGUUAUUCGGAAUCACUGGGCUUAAAGAGUUCGUAGGCGGCCUUUCAAGUCGGGUGUGAAAUCCCUCGGCUCAACCGAGGAAUUGCGCCUGAUACUGUUGGGCUUGAGGGGGAGAGGGGUGGGCGGAACUGAUGGUGGAGCGGUGAAAUGCGUUGAUAUCAUCAGGAACACCGGUGGCGAAGGCGGCUCACUGGAUCUCUUCUGACGCUGAGGAACGAAAGCUAGGGGAGCGAACGGGAUUAGAUACCCCCGUAGUC
rnacentral:rRNA from 1 species